GCCGCCAUCGUCUAGCCCGGUCUAGGACACUGGUUUCUCAGACCAGUAACACCGGUUCAAAUCCGGUUGGCGGUG
rnacentral:tRNA from 1 species